UACAGAGGGUGCGAGCGUUGUUCGGAAUUAUUGGGCGUAAAGGGCGCGUAGGCGGUGCGGUAAGUCACCUGUGAAAUCUCCUGGCUCAACUGGGAGCUUGCAGGCGAAACUGCCGUGCUGGAGUGUGGGAGAGGUGCGUGGAAUUCCUGGUGUAGCGGUGAAAUGCGUAGAUAUCAGGAGGAACACCUGUGGCGAAAAGCGGCGCACUGG
rnacentral:rRNA from 1 species